AGCCGUGGAACUUUCUUUGCUGCUUGAGGAAACCUGGUCUUCCUUGUCCUGAUCACAGUCCUCAUCUUCAUCUUCAUCUUUAUCUUCUUCUUCCUCAGACACUAAAAGCAGGGAGGAGAAGGGAACAGUGAUUUCUUGGCCUAGCAGGAAGAAGAAGAAGAAAAAAGGAUCAGGAUCACUAACAACAAGAAGAUAUUCCACAAAGUCAGAAUUGAUUUAUUGAUUUAUUUUUGUUUUUACCUUUUUACACCCUCUCUUGUAAUUUGCUGCUUUCAGGUGACCUUCCUGCAGUGGGAUAAAAAAAAUAAAAAAAAACAGAAAAUAAAUCGAUUUUCACAACAAA